UCUGAAUUUAUGCAACAAAGAAAAAAAAAGAAUUAGCAUAUAUGGUGACAGCUAUUUCUUUGCCUCAUUCUUUGAAUCUAACUCUUACCUUUGCUGUGUGUACAGGUCCUGGUAGCUCUGGACCUUGCUUUGUACAUCUUUUGAGAUCAUGUCCAAGAGAUAUUUGGUUGUUCCAAAAGGAGCUGGGCUUCUGCAGAGUAUGGUGGAAUGUGUGUAAGUACAUGAUGAAUUGCACAGUCCAAAUAUCCAGCUGCCUUCAAGAAGAGAUCAACAGUGGCUUGCCUGCUCUCUGCUCGUGAUCACAUGAGUUUGUGUUGCCAUCAUAGUGCACAAUAUAAAAUGAAGGUCAACAGCAGUCUGAAGUUGUUUCAGGUGUAUGUUUAUGCUGAUCUACACCAACCUUCAGAAACUCUCGGUCCGUGACCAUCAGCAUAGGACCUGGGAAGGAGGAGGGUGUUAGCCUGCACGAAGCACACCAUGGCCAUCAAAUGCAGCACGGACAGCACCUCGUACCAAGGAUCUGCCAUGGAUGUCUCCUGCAGCUCAGUAAUACAACACUCUGAAACUUUCAGAAGGAUUUGCAUAGAUGCUUAUAGAUGGGGACCCGUCCUUACCUCAGCCACAUCUUCUUGGUUAGCCCAUACAAACUGUACUUUGUUCCUCAGCUCACUCCCUGCAACAUUUAUGCAUGAAUCGCAACAAGUCAGGAAAGGUGCUAAUUAACAACAGUUCUAGGAAUAUUUUUUUGAAGAAACUAUGGCACCCCUUGGGGUGCCUGAACUUUAUUUCAUAUAGAUAACAACAUGUACAGGUGUUGAAGAGAUUCCAAACGUGCUAGCAAGGCUAGCUGAAAGAGAAAGGAUAAUCUAAGAAAAAACAAGACUGCUACUACCUAUCUAAGAAGGGAAGAAAUUGCUCCAAACAGUUCUAGGAAUAUUGGUGGCUAAGGUAAUCACCUUCUUUUGCCAGUCCUAUCAGAGCCGGCAAGUACUCUUCUAGAGCCUGGAGGAGAUUAGCAGUGCUGGAUCCUCCUGAAAACCAAAGAUUACAGUCAAAGCAAAAAUUCUGGUAUUCACAUUCAGCAGGAACAAGCUGGACAGGUUUCAGAUGCUGCAACGGCCCGACUCACCAUGCCGCGUCGCAACCCUUCGCCUUGGCUUCAGGGCAGUUGCUGAUUCCUGGGUCGCCAUUACCACAACCCUUGCCCUCAGAGCUGUCAGCCUCUCAACAACGCUUCUAUCCAGGUGAUCACCGAGUGUUCGUGAGAAGUCUAUGUUUCUUGGUACCCGGAGACCCGGGAGGAAGACAACCACAUCGCCAACACUCGACAGACUUCUCCGGCGCACACCAGGAUCCCUCCAUUUCGAUGCCCCACAACCCAUGGAUACUUUUUUUUUAGAGUUUAAGGGGAUCAGGAACCGUCUUAACCGAAAGCCAAGACCGUCAAAACGUUACCCAUGGAUACUUCCAAUCUGCAAGAAGCCAAGAACCAUGCAGAUGCACGAAGAGCAGCAAGAAGAUGUGAAGAGCGCACAAGGAGUUUAUAGCAAGGAACUUGUGAAAACGAAACUAUGGAUUCAGUAAGGACGAAGAAUCGAAAUUAUCCCAAGGUAAAGCCUGAAGAUAAGUCACUGUUCUUUCAAAAAGAAAGAGAGAAGACACUGCAACAAGAACAUGAAAGGUAAUUAAAAGAAUCUUACCUUUGGUUGGUCCUUCAGCCACUUGCACAAAUGCGCAAUAUCCAGAUCAAAUCUGAAGCUUGAACUCUGCUUGCUCUCUGCAAAACAACUGCCACUCAUUCAAGUUUAUGCAAGCAAGUAGUGGGUGGAAGGACGAAAGGAAGAUUGUUUAUUCUAUGACAGACCAACCAACAUCAAAAGGAGGGAGCGACUUGGCCAAAUUUAUGUACAAUUUGGCAGUUCCUCUGUUUGAAGCCAACUAAGAUGAGAGAGUAAUAGCAAGUUGAGGUUAUCUUAAAAUUUAACAAGCAUGUACGUGUACUGUUGCUACAGAAGUAGUGCAUCAUCUGAUGCGUAGCAUGAUUCUGAUACUUGCGUUUAGUUUACUAGCUCAAUCAGUCUAGAAGCAAUGGAAGUCCACAGUCUUUCAGGGUUAUUUUCGAGGUGAAGAAAUUCAGAGGAAGGAUAAGAUCAGCUUA